AGAGUUUGGAUCCUGGCUCAGAGCGAACGUUAGCGGCAGGCUUAACACAUGCAAGUCGAGCGAGAAAGUCACCUUCGGGUGGCAAGUACAGCGGCGGACGGGUGAGUAACACGUGGGUAAUCUGCCCCUCGGCGGGGGACAACAAUUCGAAAGAAUUGCUAAUACCGCAUAAGUCACUUUGGACUGCGGUCCGAAGUGGGAAAGCAGGCCUCUGUAUAUGCUUGCACCGAGGGAGGGGCCCGCGUNCGNCNAUCAGCUUGUUGGUGGGGUAAUGGCCUACCAAGGCGAAGACGCGUAGCUGGUCUGAGAGGAUGAUCAGCCACACUGGGACUGAGACACGGCCCAGACUCCUACGGGAGGCAGCAGUGGGGAAUAUUGGACAAUGGGGCGCAAGCCUGAUCCAGCCAUGCCGCGUGAGUGUAUGAAGGCCCUCGGGUCGUAAAGCUCUGUGGAGAAAAGANNGAACCGCUGUCGGUUAAUACCCCGGCAGUCUGACGGUAUUUCUUUAGCAAGCACCGGGCUAACUCCGUGCCAGCCAGCCGCGGGUAAUACGGAAGGGUGGCAAACGUUGCUUCGGAAUUCUUUGGGGCGUUAAAGCGCCACGUUAGGCGGGUCCGCUAAAGUCGGAAU
rnacentral:rRNA from 1 species